AAUAUUGGACAAUGGGGGCAACCCUGAUCCAGCCAUGCCGCGUGUGUGAAGAAGGUCUUCGGAUCGUAAAGCAUUGUAAGUUGGGAGGAAGGGCUUUAGGCUAAUACCCUGAAGUAUUGACGUUACCAACAGAAGAAGCAACGGCGAAACCUGUGCCAGCAGCCGCGGUAAUACAGAGGGUGCAAGCGUUAAUCGGAAUUACUGGGCGUAAAGCGCGCGUAGGUAGUUCAGUAAGAUGGGUGUGAAAUCCCCGGGCUUAUCCUGGGAACUGCUUUCAUAACUGCUGAGCUAGAGUACGGUAGAGGGUAGUGGAAUUUCCUGUGUAGCGGUGAAAUGCGUAGAUAUAGGAAGGAACACCAGUGGCGAAGGUGACUACCUGGACUGAUACUGACACUGAGGUGCGAAAGCGUGGGGAGCUAAC
rnacentral:rRNA from 1 species